ensembl:lncRNA
UAUAUAUAUAUAUAUAUAUAUAUAUAUAUAUAUAUAUAUACACACUGUAUCUCACCACAUAUGAUACUUUUAGUAAUACUAUUGCAGGUUUUGUAUUCAUACAAAUAUGAAAUUCCUAAAGGAGUUUAAUGGGCUGAUCACAGUGCAGUUUGUCUUUCUGUCAUGUUCAGUGUCCGUCCAAACAUCCUUAAAAAAAGAGAUUCGGAUUCAUGGCAAAUCCAAGGACAGCAGUGAACACAGUGGCCAUCAGAGAUCUCUGUAGGUUGUGGAUCCGUUCAUCGUCACUACAUGCUAACCUUGCAGCCCACGCCGCCCAUCUGUCGAAAGGGAACACAGCGUGGCUGCUGCAACCUCUCAUUUGAAUUAUUCAGACUUGUAAGCAACUUUGUGCUCCCUGGGAAGGUGUGGGCUGGAGAAAAAUGGCUGGACGUCAUCUGAGGUCAGGUGUGCAAAUGGCUUCAUCUGAGGAGUCCUGCUGCCUAACGGGAAGAAAGAUCAGUUCAAGAGAAAGGUUUUUUGAAGCAGUUCGUUGGGACGAAUAGCCUACUGCAAAAUAUGCUUGUAAAGAAUAAAAUUAUGCUUAAGUUACAAAGCAAAAUACAACAAAUGCUACUGAAGGUGGGUUAACAUUUUAAUGAACAAUUACUUAAGGAUAUUCCUGUCUGACAUAUUUAUCAUUCCAUUCAUUUUGAUGGACAGUUCAUUAUUUGCUUGGUCACCCGUCUUCUGAUAUCAACACCAUAAAGUUUGUUCCUGAACCCAAAGUAUAGAGAAUAAAUGGCCUUUGUUGAGGAAAGCAUUUUUUCCAAAAGGUCAUCAUGCUGGUUUCUAAAAUACCUCAUUUUGGUAGCAUCUAACACAGCAUUGCAUACAUGAUUCAUGGAUAAGACAGAUCCAGAAUGCACUGUGACAAACUCAGUAAGUAAGUAAGUAAAUUAUUUAUUUAUUUUUAUUUAUUUUUGGGUGAUUCAUUAUUUAUUAUAGCUCUUGAAAGCAAUUACUGUUCUGUACUACAAUAAGAAACACUUUGAGGACAUUGUAAACACACUUUCCACAUAAGAGAGAGAGAGAGAGAGAGAGAGAGAGAAAGUAGCCUUAUUCGUUCAAAGAAAUGCAUGGUGCUUCAAAAAUGUCAUGCAAUUUGUAUACAAAAAAAAAUAAAAAUAAAAAUAAAAACACACAACAAAUGGACUGACGUAAUUAUGUGGAAGAACAGGCUGUGAUAUAUUGUAGAAGAGUUUAGCAAGCUGUUGGGUAGCUGAAUAACAUAUUGCCUUGACCCGUCCUGUAAAUCAGAUGUGAGUGAAGGAACUCUACUGGGUUUUGGCCCUGCUUCUAAUCUAUUAGAAACGUCUGUUGAAUGAAAACAGGAUGAGUGGUUGCUCAUGGGACUCUUCCAUAUGACACAUCUGUUCCAAAGAUUAUCCAUAUUCGACCAUAUGGUUCAGCACAGAGAGCCGGAUCUGCUACUGUAUUAGAGCACCUGAAGGGCAGCAGAAGCUCUCGGUGUCUCAACAUUAAACCUGCACGUCCGUUCAGCAGGCUUCAUGUCAUAUAAUGUGCGCAACAAAUAACAAUACAAAUAUCUAUAUGGCUAUACAUAACCAGUUAGAAGUUUGGAAUAAAUAAAUUAAAUGGAAUAAUUUUUAAUGUUUUUGAAAGAAGUCUCUUCUGCUCAUCAAGGCUGCGUUUAUUUUUAUUUUUUAUUUUUUCUAUGAAAUAUACAGCAAAAAGCCAUAUUGUGGAAUAUUAUUACGUUCUAUUUUAAUUUAUUUUAAAAUGUAAUUCAUUCCAGUGACUGCUCAAAAAGUGAUAACAAUCAGAAAUGUUUCUUUAGCAGCAAAUCAGCAUAUUAGAAUGGUUUCUGAAGGAUGAUGUGACACCGAAGACACAGAUAUAUUUGAUUUUCUAUAUUUUGUAAAGGGGAGAGCGGGAUACAACCUAACUUUUUUCUCAGUGUGUGUAAAUCCACAUGGGGAUCAGAGUAUAUAUAUAUAUAUAUAUAUAUAUAUAUAUAUAUAUAUAUAUAUAUAUAUAUAUAUAUAUAUAUAUAUAUAUAUAUAUAUAUAUAUAUAUUAAUCCACAGUAAUUUCACACUUCUCUAGUACAAAUGUCACUUUUUUUUUCUAUAUUUGCAUUGUAGAUCUUUUUCUUUAUUUACCCACAGAAAAUGUAAGUAAAAUGUGUCAACAUACGCCUACAAGACAAACUAAAAUAUUUUUUCAAUUAAAUAAAAUUAACUUUUUGAAAUAACAAAAUGGCAUUUUUUUUUUUUUUUUUUUUUUUAAGAAUAAAAAUAAUCUGAUUUUGGAGGUUGACAGUGAACACAUUUGCAACCAUGCUUGGGACAGCCCACAUAAAUGAGCCAAAAUGCUUAUCAUUUCUUGAAAUAAUAAUUUCUGAACAUUAAACAUUGACUGUCAGUCUUUAUUCACCUGUUUCUCAUUAAAAUUGAUUAAAGUAAAUGGUGUAAUUUGCAUCGCUAAUGGCAUAGCAUAGUGUAUUUAUAGUGGACCACUUUGUAACGCAGUGUUACAACGUUUCCCAUCUGCAUAACUAUAAUUUAAAACUGGUUAGUGUCUUCUGCUAGUUAGCGACAGAAUUUUUACAGCCAGAAAUUAA